rnacentral:rRNA from 1 species
AUUGAACGCUGGCGGCAGGCCUAACACAUGCAAGUCGAACGAGUGGCGGACGGGUGAGUAAUGUCUGGGAAACUGCCCGAUGGAGGGGGAUAACUACUGGAAACGGUAGCUAAUACCGCAUACCAUCGGAUGUGCCCCGAUGGGAUUAGCUAGUUGGUGGGGUAACGGCGAACCAAGCCGACGAUCCCUAGCUGGUCUGAGAGGAUGACCAGCCACACGGGAACUGCGACACGGCCCCGACUCCUACGGGAGGCAGCAGUGGGGAAUAUUGCACAAUGGGCGCAAGCCUGAUGCAGCCAUGCCGCGUGUAUGAAGAAGGCCUUCGGGUUGUAAAGUACUUUCAGCGAGGAGGCGUUACUCGCAGAAGAAGCACCGGCUAACUCCGUGCCAGCAGCCGCGGUAAUUC